rnacentral:lncRNA from 1 species
AUGAUUGCCAGAGCUUCCAUGGGUGUGGUUUGCUUUCUACUCUUCAGAUCAAAUCUGUCCUCCAUGGAGAUUUGCUUGAUCUUUUCCUACAGGGUGAAGCGUGCCCGUGGGAAGACCCUCUACCUCUCCAGACACUUGGAUAAAGCAGUGGUCAAUGAGAGAUGGUGGCUUCCACCCAUUCUCUCAGUGAUGUCUGGGUUCGGAAGGCCUCCAGGUUCAACCAUCUGCAAAGGAACAAAAUGAAAAUUCAUUUUCCACAUGGUGAAAUGAAUGUCAUUCUUAUUUUAGUUUGUCAUAGAAAUCUUCUCUUUACCGCAAGAACUAUUCUUCAACUUAAACUGAAAUUGGAGAAUGCAUAUGGGCUACCUAUAAGUGGUUGAAUGCAAUUUUUUUAGAAUUUUAUGUGCUAUCAAUUAAACAUGUUUUCAUAACUGAGACACAAAUGUGAACAACGUUUUUGUUUUCAUUGUCAAGAUUUUCUAAUGGUGUGAAGGAGAAGGUAGAAAUUGGAGGCAUUCAGGGAAGAAGAUCAGUUGAGAAUUGAUAUUUGAACCUCUCUCUUACUUGUUCUUCAGUAAUAUCUUUGUCCAAAUCCAUAGAACAGGCCCUGGAGCCAGAUGGUCUGAGUGUAGGUCUUGGAUCUGCUGCUUAUUUGCUGUGAAACACCACACAAGUCACUCAGCCUCUCUGGGACUGUUUUCUCCUUUGUAAAAUGGGAAUAAUAACAAUACCUACAUCAUGGGGAUGAUGUGAUAAUUAGACGUGAAAGCAUGGAAAAUGCUUAGAACAGUGACUGGGACCUGGUGAGUUAAUGAUUAUCAUCAUUAUUUUGCACUCAAGUUAGUUCCUCACCUUGGAAGAACUGACACCAAUAAUCUACGUGUUAUUUUUAAGGGAUUGGUUAUAAAUGUUGAGUGCUCCCAAUCUUGACUCAAAUUAGAGUCUUCAAACCUUAUCCUCAUCUUUGGCAAGAAAGUGAGGUCAGCACUCAGGGAUCCCCAAAUAAUCUCUCUCCUCUAGUUACACAGCAUUGUGGGACUCUUUUUU